CUUAAGCAAAAUACAGACAUCGCUUUGCUCUUAGGAAUGACUGGGAGUCAUUCUGGCAGUUGCUCAGAACCCAGAGAGCUGGUCCUCCCAGGUUGGUCUGCAAAGAAUGGUGUCCCCUUCUGGGUCUCAUCCAGGUAUACAGUGUUUCCAUAUUUUAGAAAUUUAUUUAUCCCAAUUUUAAAGACUAACUUUCAAAUUUCUAGGCAUGGGAAUGUUCAACAUUCAACUGCUUGCUUAAGAAAUUAACCAUUUGAUAUAUCAGCACUUCAUUGACUAUCAGAGAAAUUUUUUCAAAAGACACAAAAUUUAGUAUUUUAGGUUCCACAAGUGGAGGAAGAUUAAUUAUUUGAAGAACCUGACUUUAAUUUUUUCUAAAAUAUUAUCUUCCUUACAUUGCAAAACUAUUUCGACAAUAGAAGCAAAUGAUUUCAUGUCCAUGAUAUUCGUGUAUUACAUCUAUGCUACCUUUUUUUAAUGGAUCACAAUUCAUGAAAAGAUCUUACAUUUUAUCUUUACUUAUCCCAACCCUGAAUUUAUUCUAAACACUACUCUUGCUUCUGGAAUGCUCAGCUCUAGGCCUUAGCAAAGUACUCCCCUAAAACUGGGAAGCUCAGCUCAACUUGAUAUGGUAUACAUUGGUAGAGCAUUUGAUGAGUAAAUUCCCAUUCCAGAAUCUUCUAGUCACCAAAUACUUAGGAUAAAAACCAAGGAAUGAUUUUGUAUGUGCCAUGAAACAGUAGCUUCCCUUGGUCAGCAUUUUCCUGGCUGUGCUGUUCUCUCCUGUUUGUUAAUACUCAAUGCAUCUCAGAGGUAGAAAAUCCUGCUAUUGCUUGUGUAACUAGGAAUAGCACAGCAUGUACUAAUACAUGUGUGACCAAUUAUUAGGACUUAUUACAGCACCUUUCUUGUAAAGUGCUCUGGCUGUUAUCAUCAAUAACCAAUAAUGGGGAGUCAACUGUCCCUCUCUGCAAAGGGAAAAAUUAAGGGAGAAGAUUCUGACAGACAUAGGCUGCAGGACUACUCCAAGGUGAGCAAUUAAUUGCUCAGCUCAGCUGGCUGGACCUGCUUACACCAGAGGCCCAUCCCAGCCCAGCCGUAGGGAACAAGCAGCUGGCCCAUCCUGGCAGGAGCCCUAGGGUGGUAAGUUCAUGACUAAAACACCACUAGUCCAUCUGCUUUCUUUCUCAACAUAAGGAUCCUUAAGGAUAUUCCUAUCCCCCUCUGUGCUUUUUGCUGGCUAUCAUUCAUGGGAAAUCAGCCACAUUUUCUCAUGUGUCUUCUGAGCACCCUUAGGAUUUAAGAAAGGAAAAUAAAUGUACUUUUUUUUCCAUGAGAAUGGAAGAACAGAGAGGAUAAGGGAAUUGCCUAGGACCACUCAGGCAAUAAACAAGGUUGAGAUUUUAAUCUGAUUCCAUCUGCUCUUUUGUGUGCUCUCCACCUGUGAUGCCUCUCACCACAAAACCUUUCAAAGAGUUUCAAAAAUGAGAUGCUUGUUUCUACAGAUGUGAUGCGCCAUAUUGGGGAGGGGGCAAUUAGAAGAAUGGAAACUAGAACAUCUCUUUUCCAGGGAUGUGGGACAGGGGCUACUUGGCUGAGAAAUAAGUGGUUGGGGUGUACUCUGGACUUCCUGGAUAAUGUGGGGCCCAAGAGGUUGUCAGUGGGAGGGUUAAAGGGGUCAUUUAAAGACAGGUGUUUACAGCCAUUGCCACACAACAGCAUCUGUCCUUAAGAACAUCAAGGUGAUUGCCUGGAUGGAGGUUGAGGUCACCAAGAUAAAAAUGCUAUUGUGUCAUUUGGAUUCAAAUAAAUAAAUCCCCCCAAACCCCAAAACAUGAAUUAUAUCCUGUAUUCUGUAAAGGUAGCUAAAUUUAGGGGAGAUCUCAACACUAAGCUCAUCUCUCUUGGUUAUUUAUAAAAACAACCUGAGUCAAGGGCAAGGCCCCUCAUUCAUUGCCCCACCCCAUUGCUACCCUUGGACUUUGUCUCAUUCACGGAGCCUGAGAAAAUGCUGCAACCCACACCCCAGCAGGCAGUUUCCACUACUGUACUAACGAUUCCAUCUGUUACGAAGGUCACAACAAUGUAUCUUGUUUUAAAUUUUUCUAUGGAGUGAUUUAUUG
rnacentral:lncRNA from 1 species